rnacentral:rRNA from 1 species
AGCGACCGCUCUCGGCAGGCCUAACAAAUUCAAGUUGAACGAACCUUUCGGGGUCCGUGGCCGACGGGUGAGUAAAACGUUGGAUCGUGCUUCUUGGUUCGGAAUAACUCAGGGACACUUGUGCUAAUACCGACUGUGCCCUCCGGGGGAAAGAUUAAUCGCCUUUAGAGCGGCCCGCGUCUGAUUAGCUAGUUGGUUGAGGUAAUGGCUCACCAAGGCGACAAUCAGUAGCUGGUCUGAGCGGAUGAUCAGCCACAUUGGGACUGAGACACGGCCCAAACUCCGACGGGUGGCAGCAGUUGGGAAUCUUGCGCAAUAGGCGAAAGCCUGACGCAGCCAUGCCGCGUGAAUGAUGGAGGUCUUAGGAUUGUAAAAUUCUUUCACCGGGGACGAUAAUGACGUUACCCGGAGAAGGGGCCCCGGCUAACUUCGUG